rnacentral:lncRNA from 1 species
UUAUUUGAGACAGAGUCUCGCUCUGUUGCCCAGGCUGGAGUGCAAUGGCACGAUCUCGGCUCACUGCAACCUCCCCCUCCCAGGUUCAAGAGAUUCUCCUGCCUCAGCCUCCUGAGUAGCUGGGAUUACGGGCAUGCGCCACCAUGCCCCGCUAAUUUUUGUAUUUUUAGCAGAGGAGGGGCUUUGCCAUGUUGGCCAGGCUGGUCUUGAACGCCUGACCUCAGGUGAUCCACCCACCUUGGCUUCCCAAAGGGGUGGGAUUACAGGCGUGAGCCACUGCGCCCAGCCUAUUUAUUUUUUGAGACAGGAUCUUGCUCUGUCACCCAGACUGGAGUGCAGUGGUGUGAUCUCGGCUCACUGUAGCCUCUACCUCCUGGGGCUCAAGUGAUCCUCCUGCCUUGGCCUCCCAAAACACGGAGAUAACAGGUGUGAGCCACUGUGCUCCCUCUUUUAACACCUCUUGCUUUCUUUUCUCUCUGUCACCCAGUAGGCACCUCUGACUCAGCUGUGCCCCAUAACAUCUUCCUGUGAGCAAAGGGCUCCCCAGAGGCAGGUCACCUGUACCCUAAGAGGAAACAGCAGAAUGUUGCCGUCCGCGGCAGGAGAUCGCACUCGGCCCCUGGAAGUGGACCUCAGAACCUGCUGGGUGCUGGGAGGACACGAUGGACCCUCGAGAAGGCUGCCCGAGGCUCCAGGCAGGCAGAGUGCAGACCCAGCAGCUGCAGCCUCGGCUGUGGGGAGCAACAAAGGCGCCUGAAACCAGGCCGCCCACAGGAUGUUGGAAACCACAGGGCCCGAGCUGGGGUCAGCCAGACAGGAAGCGACCUCAGCCCUUCCUAACUCAGCAACAGCGCAAGGCCCCUGCCUGCAGGCUCUUUCUUUGUAAGUGCCCUUGCCUGGGCCCAGGCUGGGGUGUGGCUCCCCUGUGACUGCCUUGAGGGGCUGUGCCCAAGCCAUGCCAGGUUGGGGCCACCAAAAGUGGGACAGGCCUGGAGGCCUGUUCAUAUUACAGUGAGGCAUAGACAGACCCGUUUUCUGAUUUAGUUGUUACCAGUGAAAGUUCUGCUGCCAGUCUUUUAUUCUCCCCCUUUAGAAAUGUUUUUAAUAUUGUUUUCAAAAUAGAGACUUGGCCUUACUAUGUUGCCCAGGCUGGUCUCAAACUCC